rnacentral:tRNA from 1 species
GCGCGCGUAGUCCAGCAGCCAAGACACCUCGUUGCCAACGAGGAGAUCGCCGGUGCAACUCCGGCCGCGCGCUCCA